CAUAGUGUAGUGCAAAACUAAGAGGGGGCUGUGGCUCUGAAAUGGCCAGUAAGGAACUCAGUAACGAUGUGAAUAUGCUUGGAAGCAGACAUUCCCUUAGUGGACCAUUCAGAAACUCAACUACCCCAGUUCGCGAGCACCCACAGAAGAAGAGAGACUACAGGUCGGUUUCCUUCAGAUGGCGCCCAACAUGGGGCGAACACGAGAAAAUUUGAGAGACCCUACCACAAGAUACAGAGCUCUGGUUUAUUAAAGAAAAAAAGAUCCAGAUCUAUGUAGUCGUUCUCACGGCAAAGGUUAGGCUGGAAAGAAGGACCACGGUAGAAACUACUGGAUCCACUCAAGCACUGUAAGUUUGAGAAGAAAUGCCAGGGACUCAAAGGACCAGCUCCAUAAUGAAGGAUAUAAAUUAAAUAGAAGGCUGAAGUGAUGACUCAGUGGUUAAGGACAUUGGCUUCUUUUACAGAGGACCCAGGUUUGAUUCGCAGCACUUGCAUGGCAGUUCACACUUCCUGUAGUAACUCUAGUCUUAUGGUAUCUAGCACCCUCUUCUGGCCUCUGUGAGCACUAUACCCAUGGUACA